rfam:Pestalotiopsis fici W106-1 unplaced genomic scaffold PFICI_Scf_2, whole genome shotgun sequence.
ACAUACGACCAUAGCUCUUAGAAAACUCGGCAUCCCGUCCGCUCUGCCCUAGAUAAACUGAGAAGCGCCGGAUUAGUACUCAGAUCGGUGACGGCUGGGGAAUCCCCGGUGUUGUAUGUU